GGGCGGUUAGCUCAGUCGGGAGAGCGCCGUCUUCACACGGCGGAGGUCAUUGGUUCGAUCCCAAUACCGCCCACCA
rnacentral:tRNA from 2 species